rnacentral:rRNA from 1 species
UCAGACGAUGCGUCAUGCAUAUCAAUAAGCGGAGGAAAAGAAACUAACAAGGAUUCCCCUAGUAACGGCGAGUGAAGCGGGAAGAGCUCAAAUUUGAAAUCUUAAAGGGUUUCCCUUUACGAAUUGUAGUUUAAAGAAGUGUUUUCUGUUGAGGUUUUGGUAAAAGUUCUUUGGAAUAGGACAUCAUAGAGGGUGAGAAUCCCGUAUUUGACCUUUACUUUCAACUUUGUGAUACACUUUCAAAGAGUCGGAUUGUUUGGGAAUGCAGUCCAAAAUGGGUGGUAAAUUUCAUCUAAAGCUAAAUAUUGGCGAGAGACCGAUAGCGAACAAGUACCGUCGAGGGAGAGAUGAAAAGAACUUUGAAAAGAGAGUUAAACAGUACGUGAGAUUGUCAAAAGGGAAGCGUUUGACACCAGUGUUGUUUUUCUGAAAAUCAAUUAAAGAACUGUUUAUGCUAAGUUGUUUAGACUUUAUCAGCUAUCUGUUUAGUUUUGAGCUUUUCUUUAAUGCACUUUUCAGUUAACAAGUCAACAUCAAUUUCUUUUGCUGUAAAAAAGCUUGAGGAAGGUGGCUUGAGAUUCGUCUUAAGUGUUUAUAACCUCUUGCCUAUGCAGUCGGAGAGAUUGAGGUCUGCAGCGUAGAUCCUUCGGGGCUAAAUGCAUUUGUGCUAAGUUAUAGCAUUUUAUAGACAACUUGUUGACUAUGAUUUGUCUUGUAGCUUACUCGCUUAUGUUAUUUUACCUACGCUUAUGAUGUUGAGCGCAUGUCUCUCUCU